rnacentral:rRNA from 1 species
AACGAACGCUGGCGGCAGGCUUAACACAUGCAAGUCGAACGCCCCGCAAGGGGAGUGGCAGACGGGUGAGUGACGCGUGGGAACAUACCCUUUCCUGCGGAAUAGCUCCGGGAAACUGGAAUUAAUACCGCAUACGCCCUACGGGGGAAAGAUUUAUCGGGGAAGGAUUGGCCCGCGUUGGAUUAGCUAGUUGGUGGGGUAAAGGCCUACCAAGGCGACGAUCCAUAGCUGGUCUGAGAGGGUGAUCAGCCACAUUGGGACUGAGACACGGCCCAAACUCCUACGGGAGGCAGCAGUGGGGAAUAUUGGACAAUGGGCGCAAGCCUGAUCCAGCCAUGCCGCGUGAGUGAUGAAGGCCUUAGGGUUGUAAAGCUCUUUCACCGAUGAAGAUAAUGACGGUAGUCGGAGAAGAAGCCCCGGCUAACUUCGUGCCAGCCGCCGCUGUAAUAC